rnacentral:lncRNA from 1 species
CCCUUAUUGCAUGCAAGAGCUCUAUUUUAUUAGUAAGUUGAUCAGCGGGCUGAUUGUUGAAAUUGAUAGACAAAGCGAUAGACAAAGAAGACAUAGGAAGUACGGAGCGAUCCAAUUGGUUGAAGUGGUUGGUGCCUACAGACCAAGGGAGAAAAUGAUGGACUAACUCUUGGGUCUCUCGUGGUUUGCCGUUAGUCAGUCUAUUACCUACCUUAUUUGUCCAUCGCAACCACUCGCCUCCGCCAGUAGAAUCCCUUGAUAUCACUUUUGUCUUCUUUGUUUACAGCUUUGUCUAUCGAUUUCAAUAAUCGGGCCGCAGGCGGCGACUCGUGUUGAUAUUGCGGACAUCCAUCCGUAGCUCGUCUGCGGGCUGAUUGUUGAAAUCGAUAGACAAAGCGAUGGACAUAGAAGACAUAAGGAGUAUGGAGUGAUCCUAUUGGUUGAAAUGGGUGGUUCUUAUAGACUAAGAGGGUAAAUGAUGGACUGACCAUCGGGUCUCUCGUGGGUUGCCGUUGGUUUUUCUAUUACCUUCUUUGUCUCUUUGCAACCACUCGCUUCCACCAAGUAGGAUCCCUCUAAAUCCCUUUUUGUCUGCUUUGUCUACAGCUUCGUCUAUAGCUUUGUCUACCAAUUUCAACAAUCGGCGCGCUGAAGCGGGUCAUCAGCCUGCAGAGAUUACAAAAAACCUUUGGAUCCGUGUGAUCUUGGCGGCGAAUCGUGACUCGACAACGCGGCUGCUUCUUCCUAUACAUUUAAGGGCUCUAGCUCGAGUUGCUAGGAUUUUGCAGCGGAGUCUGGUUUGGGCAAGCACCGUAGGAGUGCUCGCCGCUCGGCGAGACAAAACUCGAGAAACGGUCCGGGUGCGCCUCGCUCACUUUUCUCGAGUUCGGGUGUUGCUCCUCCGCGGCAGAGCGGGGCGGGGGGAGGGGGUUGCGGGGCGCCCGGGAUGAUAAUCGAGCGCCGUCAUGACCGGGACCCCAGGCGCGGGUCGCGGAGGAAGGGGUCGAGGGGGGCCCGGGCGGUGUGCCUCAUUUAAUCCGGCGGUUAUGCAGAGAGCGGCAACAGGGCGGAUCCGAUCAUACCGCACCUCGUGUCAAGUCACUCAGCGAGAAGCGAGAAACGAGCCGGCCCAGCGCAGCGCCCCCAGUCGCCGUGAAACCGCCGUCCCGCGAGUACGCUUCGUGUCCUGGUUGUGUCAGUGCUCUGCGCUUCAGUCGUUCAUAUUGGAUUAUCCGGGAGUGCGGAAGAAUAAGGGACCCCGGGUCAUGUGCUGGUAUCCGUUCGCCGUUGCCGUGGGCCCCGUCGGGCUGCCGCUUGGCGAGGUGCGCGCCGUUGUCUCAUUUCAUGCAGUGUUCCUCGAGUUAUGGAUGGUAUGCUCCGAGCAGUCUUCAGUUCCUAUUAUCAUCUGA